CCUACGGGUGGCUUCAGUGGGGAAUAUUGGACAAUGGGCGAAAGCCUGAUCCAGCCAUGCCGCGUGUGUGAAGAAGGCCUUCGGGUUGUAAAGCACUUUCAGUGGGGAAGAAAGCCUUGGGGCUAAUACCCUCGAGGAAGGACAUCACCCACAGAAGAAGCACCGGCUAACUCCGUGCCAGCAGCCGCGGUAAUACGGAGGGUGCGAGCGUUAAUCGGAAUUACUGGGCGUAAAGCGCGCGUAGGCGGUCUGAUAAGCCGGUUGUGAAAGCCCCGGGCUCAACCUGGGAACGGCAUCCGGAACUGUCAGGCUAGAGUGCAGGAGAGGAAGGUAGAAUUCCCGGUGUAGCGGUGAAAUGCGUAGAGAUCGGGAGGAAUACCAGUGGCGAAGGCGGCCUUCUGGACUGACACUGACGCUGAGGUGCGAAAGCGUGGGUAGCAAACAGGAUUAGAUACCCCAGUAGUC
rnacentral:rRNA from 1 species